AGAGUUUGAUCCUGGCUCAGGACGAACGCUGGCGGCGUGCCUAAUACAUGCAAGUAGAACGCUGAGAACUGGUGCUUGCACCGGUUCAAGGAGUUGCGAACGGGUGAGUAACGCGUAGGUAACCUACCUCAUAGCGGGGGAUAACUAUUGGAAACGAUAGCUAAUACCGCAUAAGAGAGACUAACGCAUGUUAGUAAUUUAAAAGGGGCAAUUGCUCCACUAUGAGAUGGACCUGCGUUGUAUUAGCUAGUUGGUGAGGUAAAGGCUCACCAAGGCGACGAUACAUAGCCGACCUGAGAGGGUGAUCGGCCACACUGGGACUGAGACACGGCCCAGACUCCUACGGGAGGCAGCAGUAGGGAAUCUUCGGCAAUGGGGGCAACCCUGACCGAGCAACGCCGCGUGAGUGAAGAAGGUUUUCGGAUCGUAAAGCUCUGUUGUUAGAGAAGAAUGAUGGUGGGAGUGGAAAAUCCACCAAGUGACGGUAACUAACCAGAAAGGGACGGCUAACUACGUGCCAGCAGCCGCGGUAAUACGUAGGUCCCGAGCGUUGUCCGGAUUUAUUGGGCGUAAAGCGAGCGCAGGCGGUUUUUUAAGUCUGAAGUUAAAGGCAUUGGCUCAACCAACGUACGCUUUGGAAACUGGAGAACUUGAGUGCAGAAGGGGAGAGUGGAAUUCCAUGUGUAGCGGUGAAAUGCGUAGAUAUAUGGAGGAACACCGGUGGCGAAAGCGGCUCUCUGGUCUGUAACUGACGCUGAGGCUCGAAAGCGUG
rnacentral:rRNA from 1 species